rnacentral:pre_miRNA from 1 species
CUCAUACUUCCUCCGUCCGAAAAUACUUGUCGAAAAAAUGCAUAAAAAUAAAUGUAUCUAGAACUAAAAUACAUCUAGAAACAUCAAUUUCUCCAACAAGAAUUUCCGGAUGGAGGAAGUACUAG